GCUCUCCCGGGAGAGCCGUCGCAGCUCCUUUUCUAUCCUGGGCAGGUGGGAAUUGGGAACCCAAAGGUCAGAGCUUUUGCCUCCCUGUUGAGUUUGGGACACUCUCACAUGUCACUGGGCCUAGGGAUUCCACAGGAGUGUCCAGUUCAGCUGUCUGGAACUCGGUGAGCAACAAAUGGAUGGGGGUAGCCUGCAGACCCCAGAGACUGUACAUUGACUAGAUGAGACACAGAAAAAGAAUGAACACGCCUGAGAGGCACUGAAGGUCAGCUGGAGGCUCAAGCCCCUUGAACCCUGCAAAUACAUUAAGCAGUGUAGUAACACCAAUAUCAGCAGAACAGAGAAGGUGGGUCUGACUUUUGGAUCUGCUGUCAAGCUGUAAAAUAAGAGCAACCACUUGUUCGGUUUUACUGGGUUCUUCCCACUGUUUUCACUUCCCACUGUGCUCUGUUUGCCUGGUUUCAGUCCCUGCUCACUGCACAAAUGGAGGCAGCCAAAGCACUGGGAUCUCCCCUGCCCUUGUCUUUCAGGCCCAGGACUUUGCCUCUGGGCUGCUGAAGGUCUGCACUGGGACAGCUGGCAAAGCCAGUGUUCCAGUUUUGUGCAGGACAGCCAGACUGUUCAUGGAGAGCUCUUAAAACUCUGCAAUUUGCAAUCCAGAGUUUUAAGAUAAACUAAAAUUAGGUUGAACAUUUGUGCAGUCAGUGACACACAAGAGCUGUGGGUGCUGAUCUUAUCAGCUGUUCCAGUACUGACCAACCCCUCAGGAGAAAUUCCCACCUACAGAAAGUGAUCCAUAUUUGCUGAUUUGAACAGAACAAACUCUUGUGUUAUGAAGCAUGACAUCAUAAUGAAAAAUUAUGCUCUUAUUUAAUAAAUGGUUGAAUAUUUUGUUUUGGAUAAAUUAAAAAAAAAUAUAAUAACAAGCUCAUAACUAGCAUUUAUUUACCCUUUCAAGACUACUUUUAACACUAC